rnacentral:rRNA from 1 species
AGUAACGGCGAGUGAAGCGGCAACAGCUCAAAUUUGAAAUCUGGCCUUCGGGUCCGAGUUGUAAUUUGCAGAGGAUGCUUCCGGCGCGGCGCCUUCCAAGUCCCCUGGAACGGGGCGCCAUAGAGGGUGAGAGCCCCGUCGGGUCGGCCGCCAAGCCUAUGUGAAGCUCCUUCGACGAGUCGAGUUGUUUGGGA